rnacentral:rRNA from 1 species
GACGAACGCUGGCGGCGUGCUUAACACAUGCAAGUCGAACGAAAAGACGGAAAGAGCUUGCUCUUUUCAGAAUUGAGUGGCAAACGGGUGAGUAACACGUAAACAACCUGCCUUCAGGAUGGGGACAACAGACGGAAACGACUGCUAAUACCGAAUAAGUUCCAAGGGCCGCAUGGCCCAUGGAAGAAAAGGUGGCCUCUACCUGUAAGCUAUCGCCUGAAGAGGGGUUUGCGUCUGAUUAGCUGGUUGGAGGGGUAACGGCCCACCAAGGCGACGAUCAGUAGCCGGUCUGAGAGGAUGAACGGCCACACUGGAACUGAGACACGGUCCAGACUCCUACGGGAGGCAGCAGUGGGGAAUCUUCCGCAAUGGGCGAAAGCCUGACGGAGCAACGCCGCGUGAGUGAUGACGGCCUUCGGGUUGUAAAACUCUGUGAUCCGGGACGAAAAGGCAGAGUGCGAAGAACAAACUGCAUUGACGGUACCGGAAAAGCAA